rnacentral:rRNA from 1 species
UACAGAGGUCUCAAGCGUUGUUCGGAUUUACUGGGCGUAAAGGGCGCGUAGGCGGCAUGACAAGUCACUUGUGAAAUCUCCGGGCUUAACUCGGAACGGUCAAGUGAUACUGUCGCGCUAGAGUGCGGAAGGGGCAAUCAGAAUUCUUGGUGUAGCGGUGAAAUGCGUAGAUAUCAAGAGGAAUACCUGAGGUGAAGACGGGUUGCUAGGCCGACACUGACGCUGAAGCGCGAAAGCCAGGGGAGCAAACGGG